rnacentral:tRNA from 2 species
ACCCCUGUAGCUCAGCUGGACAGAGCAGCGGUCUACGAAGCCGCGGGUCGUCGGUUCGAAUCCGGCCGGGGGUGC